rnacentral:lncRNA from 1 species
AGAGAGCAAAAUAUGGGAUUUACCUCAACAAAGUGGGGUUCUCCCCGUAUUAAGAUUGAGUUACCAUCAUCUUCCUUCUCAUUUGAAAAGAUGUUUUGCUUACUGUGCAAUCUUUCCAAAAGAUUAUGAAUUCAAUCAGAAGGAGCUGACUUUCUUAUGGAUGGCUGGAGGAAUUAUUCGACAGUCACGAAACAGUGAGCAGCUGGAAGAUUUGGGCAGCAAGUGCUUUCAAGAUCUAGUGUCAAGGUCUAUUUUUCAACAAACCAGCUCUGGUAGUUCUAAAUUUGUAAUGCCCUAUCUUAUCCAUGAUCUUGCUGAAUUGGUUUCUAGAGGGACCAUUUUCAAGUUAGAGGAGUCCACCAACUUGUCGUCGAGGAGAUUUGAAAGAGUUCGCCAUUCUUCCUAUGCCCGCGGUUGGCAUGACGGUAAAAAUAAGUUUGAGGUUUUCUAUGAAAUUGAACAUCUACUAACAUUCUUGCCAUCACGCAUAAGAGGUGGCACUAAUACGAGUUACAUAACUCGAACGGUUCUAUCUGAUUUGUUGCUGAAUUUCAAAAGUUUGAGGAUGUUAUCUUUACAAGGAUACUGUAUUGGUGAGUUACCAAUUUCAUUUGAAGAUUUGAGACUUUUAAGGUUUCUCAACCUUGCUUACACUGACAUAAGAAGUUAUCUGAGUCAACAUGCAAAUUGCUGAACUUGGAAAUUUUGAUAUUAAGAAAUUGUUCUCGUUUGAUAAAGCUUCCACCCAAAAUGAGGAAUUUGAUCAAUUUACGCCAUCUCGAUAUAAGAGGUGCGAAGUUGCUGAAGGAGAUGCCAUUCGGAAUGAAAGAGUUGAAGAAGCUUCAAACAUUGUCCAAUUUUAUUGUGGGCAAGGGUGAAACUGCAUCUUGUUUGGAAGAUUUAAAAUGUUUAAACUUUCUUUGUGAUAAACUUUGCAUUGCUGGAUUAGAGAAUGUUAAUAAUCCACAGAAUGCAAGAGAAGCCGCAUUAUGUGAGAAACACAAUCUUGAAGCAUUGACUCUGGAUUAGGGGUUUCAAUUUGACAAUUCCUGAGGAGUAGUAGAAGAGCAUGUACUGGAAAAUCUACAGCCUCAUAAAUGUAUAAAAAAGGUGGCGAUCCGGAACUAUGGUGGUGCAAGAUUUCCCCUUUGGAUAGGAGAUCCUUUGUUCUCCAGGAUAGAGCUCCUAAAAUUGGAGAACUGUGACAAUUGUGUAUCUUUGCCAUCGCUUGGCCUAUUGAGUUCACUUAGACGGCUUGCUGUUAAAGGGCUGAAUAAACUAAAAAGCAUAGGGUCUGAGGUUUAUGGGGAGGGUUUCUCAAUGCCUUUUCCAUCAUUGGAGAUUCUAAGUUUCGAGAAUUUGCCAGAAUGGGAGCAUUGGGACACCGAUGUCAAAGGAAAUGUGCUUGUUGAAAUAUUUCCUCGUCUCCAUCAACUUUCCAUUGUGGAAUGUCCCAAACUCUCGGGAGAACUGCCUGAGCUCCUGCCCUCCUUGGAGACACUUUUUGUUAGUAAAUGUGAAAAGUUGGUAGUUCCAUUGUCUUGCUAUCCGAUGCUCUGCAGAUUAGAAGUUGAUGAGUGCAAGGAACUAGCAUGCGGGACUCCAAUUGAUUUUAAGUUGAUAACGUCUGUGACUAUUUCAAAUAGUUCCUUAGACAUGAAUGGAUGCAAGGGGAUGCUAUACGAUGGUCCAGCUGGCUCUUCACUACCAAAGCCUAUGAUUACUACAAAUGUUUCGGAGUUUGGAAAAUUAUUGAAGCCUGGAUUUCAGAUAUUAGAAACUUUGGUAAUUGCCAAUUCUGAACAGCUCAAGUCAUGGAGGCAGAAUGGGGAUUUUCCGGAAAAAUACACGGCCCCUGAACAUAGGUUUAAGAAACCAGUACGAGGGCUGAAUAUGCUCGCUUCCCCUGAAGAGGUAACAAUUGAAGAAAGUUGCGUACGUCUUGUUUUGUUUCCAGAGAUCAAUUUCUUUCCCAGAAAUCUGCGCUCUCUUCUAAUUAACAACAACACUGCUUUCAAAUCCUUACCCGAGGAAAUGAUGGAAAACAAUUCACAACUCGAAAGGUUGUAUAUCAGAGAUUGCGACUCUCUAACAUUCAUCGCAAGACGGAGGCUACCAGCAUCUCUUAAAAGGCUUGAGAUAGAAAAUUGUGAGAAAUUGCAACGUCUGUUCGAUGAUGAAGAGGAUGCUUCUUCUUCUUCACCUUCACCCUCGUCUUCCCCAGUGAUGCUGCAACACCUGAGUAUAGAGAACUGCCCAGAGCUCACCAGUUUAUCAUCGGGUGUCCAAUUCCUUGAGGCGCUUGAAGACCUCGACAUACAGGGUUGUCCAAAGCUGGAGUCAUUACCGGAUGGCCUGCCCAAUCUUAAAUGUUUACAGAGCAUUUAUAUACGGGGAUGUCCAAGUCUUGUUUCCUUCCCAGAAAGAGGGCUUCCCAACACGAUUUCAAGGGUUGACAUUUGCAGUUGUGACAAGCUCAAAGCCUUGCCCAAUGAUUUGCACAAACUCAACUCUCUUCGAGAUUUAAGAAUACGGCUGUGUCGAAAUCUUGUAUCGUUUCCAGAAGAAGGUUUUCCUACCAAUCUAACAUCACUUACAAUUGGAAAUUUCAAAAUGUAUAAGACACUCGUCCAGUGGGGGUUGCACGGGCUUACCUCUCUUAAACGCCUCUCGAUCAGUGGAUGUCAUGAAGCAGAGUGUUUUCCAGACGAGGAGAUAGGAAUGACGCUGCCCACCUCUCUCACUCAACUGCUCCUUUAGGGAUUCGAAAAACUGAUAUCUCUGUCUUCGACGGGUUUUCAAAGCCUCAACUCUCUUCAAUACUUAUUGAUCUGGGGUUGCCCAAAUCUCACAUCAUUCCCAGAGGCGGGUCUUCCAUCCUCACUUUUGGAUUUAGGCAUUUACAAUUGUCCAAAGCUUAAAAGAGCGUGCAAAAGAGAUCAAGGAAAAGAGUGGCCCAAAAUUGCUCACAUCCCUCGCAUUGAGAUAGACAGAAAAUUCAUAUACGAUCCAGAAUCAGAGGAGUAGAUUCUAUUACAAAGGUCAGUUGAUUUCUAUUAUCCUCUAUAACAAGCUCCUCUUAAUUUUUUUUUUCUAAGUAAUAAUUUUGCAGUUCUGUAUAAUUAUUAAUCGUCUGCUCUUAAUUGAAAAUGUCACUCACUUGAUUCCGUUUUCACUAGUCAAAUUGUAUGUUGAGGCUAUUUGCUUUUUAAUUAUAACACUUAUCUUAAAAUUUAAUACCAAAUUUUUUUGAUUCACUUCAAUUAGCAUUUUGUUUUCCCCAAAUUAGGCAAGCCGAGAGCUUCAUUAACUAGAGUUUUUUAUUUUUCGGACCUUGCAUCUGAAAGGUUCAGUGUAUUUUUUUUUUUUUCAAAUUUAUUGUUCAGAUCUCAGACGAGUAUACGGUUUAGAUUACAAAACACCUAUGAUUAAUUUCUUUUUUUUUUUUUUAAUUUCAGGGAGAAGAAGUGGUCAGUUUCAAUCCGGAAUUGGAAUAUGGCAAUUUGGUUCAAGCACACACACCUGGUCACUUGGUCAGUGAACCUGAACUUUACGCAGUUUUUUCAACUCAGUGAUUUUUGGAACGCAUAUUGGUGUAAGGAAAUCAAUAGAAAUUUAUGCAUAGUCAAAUUCUGAUAUUUGCUAUAAUAUUAUACAUUCUAAAGUUUCUCCAGUUUGUUCUCAGAUUACCAUCAUUUUUUGCCUUCACCAAAAAAAAAUCGAGUGGCUUUCCAGUGGAUAUUUAAUCGGAGGUAUGACUGGAUUUUUUUCACUUCUGUAAAUCUUGCAUUUUAAACUGGCAAAUUUAACUUUAAUUUUAAUACGACUUGUUUGAGGGAAAUACUCCGACGAGACCAGACGUGAUGAGCAGAUGUUUGGUGGCAGAAGUCUGCGAGCAGGUGUGUCCUGUAAGAGCCAGGUAGCAGGGAAACAGGGGCAGAAAUAUCCUGCUCAUCCACGAGCAUGUCAUCCGCGAGGCCAAUUUCCUGUAAGAAACAUAAAGCCAUUCCUGCUGUAUUCUUGCUAAGGGUUGAUUCGAGGAGACCCGGUCAACGACAGUUGGCGAGGCAUGCUCUCCAGCCCGAGAAUCUAGGCACGAAGGCCACGCAACCACCCACGACUACGGAAAUGGGGAAUCCACGUUCGAGAGGUGGGAGGAUAACAGACGUAGACUGCGGAAAACUGGGAUUCAGAGGAAGCCUAUAAAAAGGUAGCCAACGAAGGUAAAAGGGUUAGCAAUUUUGAUUCUAAAAGAGAGAAAACAACCUAACAACCAUAAGAUUUUUGGCAAGCGUUCCCCGAACCUUCAUAUCUGACUUGAGCGUCGGAGGGUUUGCGCCGGGAAAACAACCGGCGUACUCUGACCUGUCUGUGUGCGCAGGAACCUCUGGAGAAGAAGCUUUACGAGGAGAGAUCCUGGUCGUGGUGAAGUUGAUCGAGCAGAGACCCUGGUCGUAGAACGAGGAGAACCAGAAUCUCGCAUCAACACGACUUUGUUGGUGCCUUGUGUUCCAGAAACUAGAAUGAUGUGUAGUUUUCAGAUUAAGGGGCUUGUAAAUUCUCUAGUAAGAAUCCAAUAAUUUGCUUUUGCACAUUCAUUUUAUUUGUGGAUCCUUGCAUCUGAAUUUGAUCAAUCCAAAAGGAAUUGCUUUUAGACAGAAGAAGAAUUGCAGUACCUAGCCUACGACAUAGUAAAUGGACCUGCAAACCUGUAACUAUUAGUUUGAGGUAAAAAAUUCAUGACCCUCACAUGUUAACUUCUUCUAGUUACUUUCAUCAAAAACACAUUUAAGAAAUUUGCAAUUUUUUGUUAGUUUUGUAUACCGAUGUUGUUUUCUGUUUUAGCAUUUGUAUAAUCUACUGUAUUAUAUUUUGGCGGUUGCAGUAUCUGAGGUAUCUUUUGCAUUUAACUUGCUUUAUUUGUUUUGCUUGUGACUUAAGAACACCAAUAUUUGCCAGAGAUUUAGAGAAGCAUAUCAAGAUGCUUGGCAAACUUGACAAACUUCAAGAUCCUUCAUUCUUCACGACCCAAAACUUGUGAGUACACUUAUGCCCGCAAUUAUUGUGAAACGCUUGCAAUUUUGAUGCAGCGAAAUGGUUUGUUGAUGCAAAGGUUUAAACUUUUAAGAUUUACACUGCAGGGUAGUUGGAUGCUGUAUAGUCGAACGGCCACCAACAUCAAGAACUAUAACUCCAAGACCGGGUUUGCAUUAAUUCAAUCAGCUGAAAUAAUGAUGCAAAUGACACUAUCAGCUGGACUUAGAGACCAGUCAGAUCAAUCAUCCUUUUAUCAACAGUUAAUGUCAUGAUGGUGUCUAUCGGAGGAAACAAAGGAUGUGUCGGAAUCAAUAUGAACAGUGAGAAGAAUGAGAGGAGCUUUGAUUAUAAGUAGGCUCAAUGAACUCAUGCUGGUAAGUGGUAAUUAAAGAAAUUUGUGCGCUUAGUAGCAUUCAAUAUUUUCUGUUUGGGAUAUAGUUGAUGAGUUGAUACUCUGAUUAAGAAGCCUGAUUAUAGUAGCUGACUUUUUUUUUGUGGUUUGCUGUUGUUUAUUCUUUCGAUUAAUUUCAACAUUAGGUUGAUCUGUUGAAGAACAAACUUGGGUUUGAUUAUGCUUUAACUACAAGGAAGAGCCAGACUUGGAUGCAGGCGUUCAGCUUUUAAUGGGUAAGAACAAAUGUAUGCUUUAACCAUGUUUCUCACUUAUUACAAUGCACACAUUGAAGGCAUCUGAGCUGAUCCUGAAAAUGUGAUGGAAAUACUUCUCUGUUUACAUAAAACAGACAAAUAGAGAUCUCUGAUCAUGCCUGAGAAUUCGUUGCAUUUAAAAUUUCUACCAUUGCCAAAAAUAGAAUAAACUACGGAUACAUUAGCUUAAGACUCAAUUUUGAGAAGGAAGUUUGCACAUGCAGCCUAAAAAAUCACGUCCGUGUUGUAUACUUGUAUGUUUCUUUGGGAAAUGAAAGAUUCUGUGUUCUUUUAUUUCAAGUUUGCUGAAAUCACAUUUGUUUUCUUAGAUGCUUUUGGGAAGGUAACAACAUCAAUUUCAUAAAUGCUGGGGUAAGAUGCAUCACGCAGUGCUACUCAACAUGAGAAUUCCCGGCCGCAUUACCUGUAUGUUGAGUGAUCGCACAGUACAACCUUUAGAAGCUUGUAAGGAGUAGACAACUAGAUGCGAAUAGUUUCAAUAUGGAUUCGCAUCAAAUGAUCUCUUGCCAGUGAUUACUAUAACCUCUAUCCCAAAAUUCUUGGAACUGGUCAUACCAAUAAUGAAGUAUUGUGUACGUUGAAGACGUAGCUCAAGGCCUUGCGAAAGCUCCGUCAGCCUUUGUAUUGGAAAACAGUUGGUUGUAGUUGCUUCUGAAUGAUAUUAUUAAUAGAUACUGUAAAAAUGAAGUGUGCCACUCAUUUUCAGAGCCCUGUUAAGAUGUGUUGGUAAUGUGUUUGAAGGUUGUUUGAUUUGUGUUGUAUUCAGCUAUAAAUCAAAGAUUCAGAACAUGGUUAUGUUACUGGUUUCCAAAUAAAAAAAUUGCCUUGUGAUGUUAGUGUUCAUUGUUUUCACAGGAGAUCAGGUUCCCUGUUGAUGAAUCAAGAAGGCAAACGCAUCCAUGCCUUAAGUUCAAAUGUGUCUCUUCUAUUUUCUAUUACUGACUCCUUUAUUUUGAUUUCUUCAUUGUAAUGGAAUUGGUUUUCAUUCCAAAUUAGUCAAAACCUCCUAGAGUCAUUAAGUUCUGUUAGCAUUUGAAGAUAGAACUAGAACUAAAUGAUUGACUGGAUUAAAUUCCGAUAAAGAAUUAAGUUAUGUAUUUAGAGAUAUUUUGUUUUUUUUUUCAUUUGUUCAAUUUGGUUAGUGGUGAUUUCUUAAAGACUCAAUCCAUGUGCGUUUAUGCAUUUUUCUUUUGCCUUAAUUUCUGUUUCUUGGGGAGUUUAUACAGAUUCUUAUUUUAUGCUUCACAUGCCACAUGAAAGAUCGAAGCAUUUUGUGUGAUUAGAACUGACUUGCAUCACAGUAACUUUAAACCACUGCCACAUUUUUAUAAUAACAGUCUGAGAUCUCCCUGAAGGAUUCAAAGCAUUUUAUUUUAUAUUAACCUCCUUUAAGUGGGUUUCGACACUACCACAAGUUCUUUAAAUACUAAAACGAUUUUGAGUCUUUUGUAUCAUCUGAUUGAAAUACCUGAAAGCACUCGUGGCUGCAAAAAUAUAUCGAUUUUGAGUAUGGCGUGCAUGUAAAUUAUAUCGAUUUUUUCUAUAUGACAAGUAAGACUCUCUUUUACAAUGGCACGGAUGCGUCAUUGAGUAAUCAUGAUUCUUGCUGGUAGUGCUUUGUUGUAUCAAUCUGCUAGCUAUUCAGCUUUCUUUCUUUCUUUCUUCUUUUUUUUUUUUUUUUUUUGUUUUCAAAUAGCUUGUGGUUGUAGAAAUAUUUCAAUUAAACUAUACUUAAGUACUUAUUUAGUAUAACUUCUUUACUAGCCAAAAUAAUUUUUUUUUGGUUUUUUAUAAUUUAAUUAUACUUUAACUAGAGUUUUUGGGAUUAAACAAGUGAUAAUUUCUCUCUAUUAAGAAAAACUCAAAAUUUUUUAAUUACUAGAAUGCGUCUAAAUUAAAUUACAAUUAUAGACACUAAAAUAUAGUAAAUUUUUUUUUUUACUCUUUAAAACUGUCUUUACAUUCGAUAUCAUAUUUUUUUCUUAAAAUCUAAAUUGAUAUUUUUAUUUUAUUUUUGAUUAAUCUUAGAACACAUAUAAAGUGAUUCAUAUUGAUUUUAUACUAACAAACUAUCAUAGCACAUUCGAAAAUAAUUAACUCGUUCUUAUUUGCAUAGUGAAAAAGGCAAAUAGCUCACCCAAAUGUUAAGGAACUGGAGAGCUGCUGCUGGAGACGAAAGGAUGUGAAAAGCAUGGUAAAGAAAAAUUGCAUAAUUCUCACUUAGAAGAGGAAGAAAAAAAAAAUACAAUUAGAAUGAGAGGUAGCCAGUAGCCAGUAGCCGCCACCACCACCAGUCAAACUAUUUCGACACACUAAUACUGUAAUACAUAUCAAAAUGCAAUAUCGGUCCUAACAAAAUGAAAAUAAAAAUUCAUUACGAAUAUGUGUUAAAGAUAUCCCAAGUAUUGAUGUGAUUGAAAUAUUUGAGAUUGAAGUAGAAAUAAGACUCAAAAUCAAUUGAGAGGAAUAAAUGAGAAACUCUAAUACUAAUAAAAUAUAUUCACAAAUCCUAAUGCUAAUUAAAAUCACGGAUUAAAAAAAAUAAUAUGAAUGAAUUACAGGCGCAACUGUUUCAUUAAAAAAUUAAUAAAAUCGUGUAUUAAUAUUUUGUACACAUACAUUUUUCCAUAUAUAACUUUUGGUAAUUUAGUUUUCCACUUAUCAUUUUUACUCCAAAAAAAUAAUUGAGAAUAUUAUUUAUGUUUUGGUGCAAAAUAUUUAAACAACAUAAAAAUUUUCAGUUUAAUAAAUCUAAACAAUUCUCAAGUUAUAAAUGAAUUUAAUGGGUUUAAUUAGUAAAAAUACUAUUAUUUUAUAAAUUGGGUUUAGUAAUGGUAUAUUGGGUAUUUAAAUGGGUUUGUUGAGUAAAUUUUAAAAUUUUAAAGUUCAAGGGUAGGUUUAUUUAGUAAAUGGGUUAAUGCAGCAAUUUUCAAACUAAAUUUUUGGAAAAAGAGGCUAUUGAGUUUUUUUUAAGAAAAAGAAUUAAAAUGUUGAGAAUACCUUUAUUUAAUUUUAUAAUCUAAUUUUAAAAAAUUUACCCAAUAAAUUUUAUAAUUUUUUAUAAAAAUUAUCAUUAACAUCCAAACAGCUGAAGAUUAAAAAAAAAAAAAGAAGGGAACUGUACUAGCAAAAGUUAGAUUAACAAUAAAUUUAGUCCAAAGAAUAAAGUUAUAGCUAAAAAGUGCUCCUAUCCUAUUUUUCUCUAUUUUAACAAUAAUCUUCCAAUCCAUUUUACAAUGGACUUAACAAAUGGGCUCAAUCUCUAAACUUCAUUUUCUUUUGCUAACCCAUGGCCAUUAGCCAGAAAGCCUAAAACAAUUUUAGGAUCACAUGUGUAAAUGGAACCCCAAGAUUGAUCAAGAAUUAACAAGACAAGAUGAAGAGAUGAUCUUGUAACUAAGAAUGAAGAAAUUGAAUCAAGACAGUACUCUAGUAAAACCCAGAAAACAGAGCUUGAAGAAUCACGCACAAAGCAGUAAAUUUGUAAAACCAGAAUUGGAGCUUCACUUCUCAAGAUAGACGAAACAGGAUACAAUCUAGCUUUGGUCAACUUCGUUUGGCCACGUCAUAAAGUCUUCCCCCACAGUCUUUCCCGCCAAAACAGAAAAGCUUUAAAAGCCAUUUACCCUCCUGAGUUACUUGCUCCUAUUACAUCAAGGCCCUGUAAGUCUAUAUUUAUUAUUACAAAAGCACCCUUAAACCGAGAUUUGAGAUAUUUUUUCAAAGAUCGAAGCGCAUGAUUUCACGGCUAUGUUGCAUAGUGAAUUUUAGUGCUUUACAGUUAAGGGAUAGUUUAAAUUCAUUACAAAGCAUUCGCAAAGAAAUUGUUUUUAAAUGAAACUCCUCGUCUUGACCAGAUUAUUUAUUAUUAUUAAAAAAAAAAUGUUCAAAACUUAGCCAAAGUGAUAAACUCGUAAUUAUUCUACAAAGGGAACAAUUUUGAACGGUGGGAAAUUCCAUAAUUAUGCUUUUCUGUGAAUUAUUUUAAAUAAAAUUAUAAAAAUUAAUAUAAAAUUAUAAUAAUGAUAGAGCCACAAACUCUUGUACAAAUUUAUUUUAUACAAACUCAUGUGGCAUGAUAAGAUUGGUUGAAUUAAAUAUUACUUGGCCCACAUGAUUUGUUUUUAUUAUUUUAUAUUUUUAUUCAACCAAUAAAUUAAUACCACGUCAGUUUGUACAAAAUAAAUUUAUACAAAAAUUUGUGACUCGAUCAUCACUCAUAAAAUUAAUACCCGGUAAAGACUGUAGAGAGACAAGUGCCCCCAACAGAAUCAAGUGAAUAUGCCCCACAAAGAUCACAUGAUCAUUUCUGUUCUUUUUCUUUUUGAUAAUUUUAUCUGUGGUUUCAACUUUUAUGCUUUAUUGUCGUAUCCCGUUGAGGGCUCCGCUGCACCCAUUACAACUUACCCCUAAAUUGCCUCUUACUAACUAAACCGUUAGAUUUUAUGGAAGCACGUUCAAUGUUGAAUUUUAAUUAUGUCAUCGAAUUUCGUUUAGCUCCUUAAACUCCAUUUUAUUUGUAAUUUCUUCAUAAAAUAUUCAAAGCUUCAUCAAGCUCCUGAUGGACCAUCAUGGCUAGGGGUGCAUUAGAGCCGAACUGAAAUAUGUUAGUUCAGUUCAGUUUGGUCAGUUUAAAUCGAAUGGUUUAGAAUAUAUAAACUGAUCAAUUUUAAUUUUGAAUUGAACCGAACCGAAAAUCAAUUGGUUCACUAUUAGUAUUUUUGUAUAAACAAGAAUGAUUAGUGAUUAUAAUUAAAUUGGACUAAAAAAAAUUCAAACUAAGGUGAAAAAUAUCAAAUCUUAGACAAUAUAAAAAAAAAUAUUAAAUUUUUUUAACCGAAACGAACCGAAUUAUUUUGACUCAGUUUGGUUCAUAAUUUUUUAAACCAAACUGAUUUAUUCCCACCCCCUAAUCGUGGCUCUCUAUCUUUAGUCAUUCACCCUUGAGUUUGAUGCCAAUUGUUGGGUUUCAAAUGAUUAUACACUCAAAUGGAACCCUCAUAACAAAAAACUAACAGAAACAAUAAGAACACGAUGUUAAAAUCUUAAAUCAAUCGCAAAAAAGCACCCAAAACAGAUCGAUUAGGAACAGUUAAGAACAAAAGAUUUGAUGGUUCAAAAUCAUAAUGUGACCUACGUACUUUCAUCCAAGAAUCAUACUAAUUGCUUUACUAGUUGUCAAACUCAAGAUCACAAGAUUGUUUAUCACUCUACAUAAAAAUUUUUUUUAGAAGAAAUACUCCCCAAUUUUUCUCUUAAUAGUUAUGAAUCAACACCCCUAGGAAGCCUGUUGAUUUACUUUUCCUUAUUUCCUAUGAUCGGUUGCUGCAACUUAAUCCUUGCCAAGCUCCAACAUAGUCCAAACACUUUUAACGGUACAGGCAUAGUGCACCUUCAGAAACUUUACAGCUCCUCUUAAAACCUCAGGCAUCGUAAGCACAUUAAGCAGCCGACAACACUCUUCUUCAUUUCUUCAUUGUCAAUUUCCUUCUUGGAACAUUGCUCCAUUGAGAGUCUGCUAGAAUUGCUCCAAUUAUUAUUAUUAUUUAAAAAAAAAAGAAAACCCUGCAAUAAGAGUAUAAGACUAAGCAACGGUCCUUUUUUUUUCCCCAUUCUUGAACCUAAAGUAUUUGAGUAUGCAAAUUAAUAAAUAAAUUCAUUUAUUUUUAUUAAAAUUUUGUAAAAUUAUAAUUUUUAAUAAAAAUAAUUAUUAAAAUUUUGUAAAAUCUAAAUUUAGAAAAAUUCAGUUGGGCACCUCUAUUUGAGAUUUAUUUUUUAUUAAAUUUAGGGAUAUUUUUAUAAUUAUAAUUUUUAAUUUUAAAAGUUUUUAUAAGAUAAAAUAGUCUUUUAAUUUAUUUAGGGGGUAAAAUUGGUGUUUUAUUAAAAUUAUUUAAUUGUGUUAAUGCAAAAGUGGCUAUUUGAUACAAAUGUGAAAAGAAAGGUGGUGCAAAAUAUAUGUUAAAAUUUUAUAUUGGUUGGAUGAACAUAAGCUAAAAUAAAGGUGGUGCAAUGAUAAUUUCCCUAUCCUAAAACUUAAUUGACUUAAUUCUUACGGUGCAAGGAAGAGGUUUCCAAGUUUAAAUCUAAAGGCUUGUAUUUAAUUUGGGGUUGGGAAAGCACUGAGAAAUAAAUGUAACUAAGGAAAAAAAAAAAGUCACGCAGUCCAAAUAAGUAGAUAUAUUUAAUAUGAGGUGGGGAUGGGUGAACUGUAAUUCAGAAAAAAAUAAAAUAAAAUUUUAUAUAAAGUUGAGGGUGUGUUUUAAUGGUUUCUUAUGCUGCGUUUAUUUUUUGGACUAGAGUGAGAAUUCUAAAAAGUGAGAAUCCUAUGAUUAGGUGUGUGGAGUGGGAGUGGGAGUAUGGUAUUUACUUAGACUAAAUAAAAGUAUGGAUUGUCAAUCAGAAUCUCAAUUAUUUGUUACUUUGUCUUGGAUUGAGAGUAAAUUAUUUUAAAUUACAAUUUUAUCCUUAUGUAAAGAAUUAUAAUUUGUAAUUAAAAAAUUAAUAAAAAUAUAUUGGAAAAUAAAAUAAAUAUUUUAUUAUAUUUAUAAAAUAAUAAUAAUUAAUAAAAUUCUUAAUUAUGUAAAUCAUAAUUUUUUAUUAAUUUAAAUUUAAAUUAUGUGAAUAAAAUUAUUAAUAAUAGCAACACAAAUGAAACAUUAUUAUUAAUAAUAUAGUAUAAAAUUAAUAUUUUUUUAGAAUAAAAUAUUUAUUAUUAUUAAAUAAAUAAAUAAUAUUUAUUAAAAUUAAUGUUUAAUAUUAUUAAUUUAAAUAUAAUAUUUAUUUAUUUUUAUUUUAUUUUAUUAAAUUUAAUAAAAUAAAUAUGUUAUAAUUAUUAUUUUUAAUAAAUAUGAUAUUAUUUAUUUUAUUAAAUAUUAUUUAUUUAUUUUAAUUAUGAGGGUAAAAAUGGAAGAGGGGGAGUGGAUUCCCACUCCCACCUCCCCCCAUGGGAGUGGGAAUCCCACUCUCCCCUUAAAAAUGGUAAGUAAAUAUUAGAAUGGGAAGAAUCUACACUCUACACUUUCUAGAAAAUAAACACUACCUUUAUUUAAAUCGAUUUGUUGGAUAUUUAGCUAAAAUGAGAGUAGCUCUCUAAUAAUUAUUGCAUUAUUACAAACAUAUCCAACGGUUAUAAUAGCGCGCUGAAUCAAUGCUUCAGAAGGAUGACAGUCUGAGUGAAAAGGAAAUAAACGCUUUCAAUUGAAUUACUACCACUACACUCCAAUACUCUAUUAUUGUUUGUGUGCUUGCUUGUGGACCUUUUUACUUCUUACUAUCAUUAUUGAAUUCCAUUUCCAAAUUUUCAGCAUACUUUUGCUUUCUUUCAGUAUCUUCAGUUUCUCUUUUGCUUGCUAUCAAUUCAGUUUUCUUCUUGUGAAGAUCGAACGGAACCAUGGUUGCUGUGGGAGAGAUCUUACUCAACGCCUUCUUUCAGGUGUUGUUUGACAGGUUGGCUUCCCGUGAUUUGCUCAGCUUUGUCCGUCAACUUGGAGGCGGGGACGAUUCCGAGCUCAAGAAGUGGGAAAGAAAGCUGAAGAUGAUUCAGGCGGUGCUCAACGAUGCAGAGGAGAAGCAACUGACCGACGAGGCCGUGAAGAUGUGGCUGGACGAUCUCCAAGACUUGGCUUAUGACGCUGAGGACAUUCUUGAGGAGUUUGCUACUCAAGCUUUGGAAAGCAAGUUGAUGGCGAAAAAUCAGGAUCGCAUUGGCCAGGUUCUUAGUUUCAUACCGGCUAGUUUGAAUCCGAAUGCUAUUAUGUCCAAUUAUAGCAUGGGAUCCAAGAUUAAAGAUAUUACUAGCCGGUUGGAGCAACUCUGCCAAGAUAGAAUUGAACUUGGGCUGCAACGGAUUGCUGGAGGGGCAUCAUCAACUACUUCUGCUGCACAUCAGAGGCGAGACAGUUCGAGUGUCCCAACAGAACGUGAAGUAUUUGGAAGAGAAGAAGAUAAGGCCAAAAUUCUUGAUAUGGUAUUGACCGAUACCCCAAGUGAUCGUGCCAACUUUGUUGUAAUACCCAUUGUUGGCAUGGGCGGGAUAGGAAAAACAACUCUUGCCCGGGAGGUCUACAAUGACAAGGCCGUUGAAGAUUCCAAGUUUGAUGUAAAAGCAUGGGUUUGUGUCUCUGAUGUCUUUGAUAUUUUGGGCAUCUCAAAGGCACUUCUCCAGUCAAUCACCUCCGCAGCUAGUGAUCUCAAGACUUUAAAUGAGGUGCAGGUUCAACUGAAAAAAGCAGUUGACGGAAAAAGAUUCUUGCUGGUCUUAGAUGAUGUUUGGAACGAGAACUACAACUUGUGGGAAGACUUAAAAGCUCCGUUCCUGGAUGCUGCACCAAACAGCAAGAUGAUCGUCACCACACGCAAUUCAAGUGUUGCAUCAACAAUGAGACCCAUUGAACAUUUCAAUCUCAAGAGUCUGUUGGAUGACGAUUGCUGGUCCAUUUUUAUAAAGCAUGCAGUUGAAGGUGGAGAUCUUAACGAGGAUCAAAUUUCAGAAUCAUUCCGCAAGAAAGUUGUUGGCAAGUGUGGAGGCUUGCCUCUGGCAGCAAAAACUCUCGGGGGCCUUCUGCGUACGACGAGGCAUGAUGGGUGGGAUGGUAUAUUGGAUAGCAAAAUAUGGGAAUUACAUCAACAUAGCAGCAUUCUCCCUGUGUUAAGAUUGAGUUACCAUCAUCUUCCGUCUCAUUUGAAAAGAUGUUUUGCUUUUUGUGCCAUCUUUCCAAAAGAUUAUGAAUUCACUGAGAAGGAGCUGACUUUCUUAUGGAUGGCUGGAGGUAUUAUUCGACAGUCAAGAAACAAUGAGCAGCUGGAAGAUUUGGGCAGCAAGUGCUUUGGUGAUCUAGUGUCAAGGUCAAUUUUUCAACAAACAGCAAUCUCUGAUAGUUCUAAAUUUGUAAUGCACGACCUUAUCCAUGAUCUUGCUGAAUUGGUCUCUGGAGGAACCAUAUUUAGGUCAGAGGAGGCCAAUACUCUAUCAAGAAGAUUUGAAAGGGUUCGCCAUUCUUCCUAU